rnacentral:tRNA from 1 species
GGCGCUAUAGUGUAGUGGUUAUCACUCGGGAUUCUGAGUUCGCUGGAAUUUCCCGAAACCCAGGUUCGAACCCUGGUAGCGCCU